rnacentral:rRNA from 1 species
AGGACGAACGCUGGCGGCAUGCCUAAUACAUGCAAGUCGAGCGAACAGAUGAAGUGCUUGCACUUCUGACGUUAGCGGCGAACGGGUGAGUAACACGUAAGGAAUCUACCUAUAAGCGGGGGAUAACAUUCGGAAACGGGUGCUAAUACCGCAUAAUAUCUUCUUCCGCAUGGAAGAAGAUUGAAAGACGGCUCUGCUGUCACUUAUAGAUGACCUUGCGGUGCAUUAGUUAGUUGGUGGGGUAACGGCCUACCAAGACGAUGAUGCAUAGCCGACCUGAGAGGGUGAUCGGCCAUAUUGGGACUGAGACACGGCCCAAACUCCUACGGGAGGCAGCAGUAGGGAAUCUUCCGCAAUGGGCGAAAGCCUGACGGAGCAAUGCCGCGUGAGUGAAGAAGGCCUUCGGGUCGUAAAACUCUGUUAUAAGAGAAGAACAAAUUGUAGAGUAACUGCUACAGUCUUGACGGUAUCUUAUCAGAAAGCCACGGCUAACUACGUGCCAGCAGCCGCGGUAAUACGUAGGUGGCAAGCGUUGUCCGGAUUUAUUGGGCGUAAAGGGAGCGCAGGUGGUUUCUUAAGUCUGAUGUGAAAGCCCACGGCUUAACCGUGGAGGGUCAUUGGAAACUGGGAAACUUGAGUACAGAAGAGGAAUGUGGAACUCCAUGUGUAGCGGUGGAAUGCGUAGAUAUAUGGAAGAACACCAGUGGCGAAGGCGACGUUCUGGUCUGUUACUGACACUGAGGCUCGAAAG